AGGACGAACGCUGGCGGCGUGCUUAACACAUGCAAGUCGAGCGGAAAGGCCUUUCGGGGGUACACGAGCGGCGAACGGGUGAGUAACACGUGAGCAAUCUGCCCUUCACUUCGGGAUAAGCCUCGGAAACGGGGUCUAAUACCGGAUAUGACUGCGCCAUGCAUGUGGUGUGGUGGAAAGUUCUGGCGGUGAGGGAUGAGCUCGCGGCCUAUCAGCUUGUUGGUGGGGUAAUGGCCUACCAAGGCUUCGACGGGUAGCCGGCCUGAGAGGGUGACCGGCCACACUGGGACUGAGACACGGCCCAGACUCCUACGGGAGCAGCAGUGGGGAAUAGUUGGACAAGUGGGGACGAAAAGCCGUAGACGUCC
rnacentral:rRNA from 1 species